UAGGGAAUCCUCCACAAUGGACGCAAGUCUGAUGGAGCAACGCCGCGUGAGUGAAGAAGGGUUUCGGCUCGUAAAGCUCUGUUGUUAAAGAAGAACGUGGGUAAGAGUAACUGUUUACCCAGUGACGGUAUUUAACCAGAAAGCCACGGCUAACUACGUGCCAA
rnacentral:rRNA from 1 species